UCACACUCCCAGAGAGGGAUUAGUUUGAGAAAGUGCUCCUCACACCCACCGAGUCAUGUGUAAAAUACACAGCUCCAUGAAUUUGAUGAGAAAGAAUUAGCUUUAAAAACAAAUAAAAACCACCUGGAAAAACACCUAAACAAGGAGCAGAAAGACCUUGUCUUAGUUAAGGUACGGCUCCAUCACUAAGGAAUCUGGAGGCUGGAGCUGAGGCAGAAGCCAUGAAGGGUUGCUGCUUACUGGCUUGCUCUACAUAGAUUGCUCAGCCUGCUUUCUUAUAGAACCCAGGACCACCAGCUCAAAGGUGGCCCUGCCCACAGUAUGCUACCCCUUCCAUAUCAAUGAUUAAUCAUGAAAACUGCACCACAGGCCAUUCUGUUGGGAGCAUUUUCCCUCUUGAGGUUCCUCUUCCAAACUGAGUCUAGUAUGUGUUAAGCUGACUUAAAACUGUGUGGACAAAGCUUUCCUGAAAAGCCUCAACAUCACGGGAAAUAAUCCCAAGAGCUAUCAAAUACAUUUGCAUAAAAUCUAAAAGCUUUGGCACCGAAAAGACAAGAAUUACCUGGAGAAACAGACAUAGAAUAGAACAAAGUCUUCCCACUGCCUGUCAGAUGGUGUUACUAUUUAGACUACACAGGAAAUGCAAAGUUAAAUACCAGAAAAUUGUCUAUUCAAUAAAU
rnacentral:lncRNA from 1 species